GCCCAAGCAAAAAGGCAGAUACAAUAACCUUUCCCUGUAUAAGAUACUUUUCUUAGUGCAGUCUGUUCUACAUUUUCUCAUUCAAAUCCCCCCUUUUCUUCCUCGGAUCUAAAUCUCGAUCUGUUCAUCAAUGGCGUUGGAGUGGGUGGUGCUAGGCUACGCUGCUGGAGCAGAGGCCGUAAUGCUCCUCCUCCUUACUCUCCCGGGCCUUGACCCGCUCCGCAAGGGCCUAAUCAGCGUGACCCGUAGCCUGCUCAAGCCUUUCCUGUCCAUCGUGCCCUUUUGCCUCUUCCUGUUGAUGGAUAUAUACUGGAAAUAUGAAACCCGACCCAGCUGUGAAACCGAAUCCUGUUCUCCGUCCGAACACCUCCGACAUCAAAAAUCGAUUAUGAAGUCUCAGCGAAACGCACUUUUGAUCGCCUCUGCUCUUGUUUUCUAUUGGCUGCUUUAUUCCGUUACCGGCCUUGUUGUGAAGGUCGAUCAGUUGAACAAGCGUAUCGAGAAGUUGAAGGCACAAGAUUAAUUAAUCUGAACUGGAACUUUUCGGAUCUCAGAUAAGGGCAUUUGAUCAAAAAACCUUUUCGUUGUUAGUAUCUGUUAUUAAUAUUUUGAUGAUGAACUGGGUCGUUGGAUGUGUAAUUGCUGCUUUUGACCAUUGUUAGGACGCCUUUUACUUUUCCUUAAUCGACUGAAUUAUAGGUUUGGUACUCGGAUAAUUGAGUAUUUUUUUUAGGGCUUUUGAACUUUUUCUGUUUAAUAUGGUUUUGGUUUAAGCGUGAUUGCAGAAUUUAUGAAAUGCAAUUUAUCUUUGGAUUAUAUUUUGGUUUUUAGUAUUUUGAUUACAGGGAGACUAUGCAUUUACUUAGAUAAUUAUUUUAUACUUUAUUGGUAGUUAUUGAUGGAUUCCAGAUAAAUGGAUUCCUGAAAGCCACUUCGUUGGUAGAAUUCAAUGUUUAUAUUAGCAAUUGACAAUAUUGAAUCCCAACUAUAUUUUUGAGUUGAUAUAGAACUAUUCUCAUCUCUCUAAGACACAUAUGAAGCGGAGUAUACUAAUUUGGAGUCAUUAAUAGAAGUGCAAUGUAGGCUGUUUGAUAUCAAAUUGACACCAUUUACUUUAAAAAUAUACAUGAAAAAGUAAUACAUACAUUGACUCUUGAAAGCCACUUGGUUGAUAGUGAUUAAAUGUUUAAUUUUGAGCUAUAUCUUGUUCGAAUAUGCUAUAUCUUAUUCAAAUAUGAUAUUGUUGUCUUUUGAUUUUAUUAGGAUUUUUUUGCCGUUAAUAUUGGUUCUACUCCUUCAUGUUUAAUUGUUACUAGGUGAGGGAUGUUAAUUUUUUCCGUGUUUGCAAAACAACGGGGAUUUAUCGAUUUUUCGGAUUCUGAUUAAAAUGAAAAUUCUGUGUUGACUAAUAUUGUUGGAAUUGUGUGGAAUAUAUUGCCUGUCACUUGAAAUAUGCAUUUUUCUCUUAAUAGAUGUUUAAUGAUGAUCUGGGUUUUCCCUGGAUGUGUAAUUGUUGCUUUUGGUAAUUAUUAGGAUGCCCCCCACUUUCUUUUUUUCUCUCCAAUAAUUAAAUGGAUCGAGGAUUUGGUUCACCUAUGUGUUGAUUUAGUUACAUAGAUAAUUGAGUAUUUU
rnacentral:lncRNA from 1 species